AAGGCUUAAAUGCUAAUAAUAGACGAGAAGACCCUAUAGAUCUUUAUUUAAUUAAUAUUUUAAUAAUUUAGGAUUAUUUUAAUUUAAAAUUUUAAUUAAAUUUUAUUGGGGUAAUAUAAAGAUUGAAUUAAUUCUUUUUAUUAAUUACAUUAAUUUAUGAAUAAAUGAUCCAAUAUUAUUGAUUAUAAGAUUAAGUUACCUUAGGGAUAACAGCGUAAUUUUUUUGGAGAGCUCAUAUCGAUAAAAAAGUUUGCGACCUCGAUGUUGGAUUAAAAAUUAGC
rnacentral:rRNA from 1 species